AUGCAAAGUAGACACAACAAGAGAAGAGAAAUACGCCAUAGAGAGUGCAAAAUUUGUCCAAGAGAGAGGAGAGGAAGAAAAGACAUUUUGAGUGAUAAGCGCCAAUCUGUAACAAAGUUUUUCACUCUGCGCAGUCCUCUAUCAACUCAUGGUCAAACCCGGGCUGAAAUUUUACGGAGAGUUCCCAGACACGUUGAACUUCGUUCAGGGCGGUUGGAUUAAGGAUUGGAGGAUGAUUGUUGUAUCCCCUUAGCGUUGGUCGAUAGGGAAGAGGUUGUAUCCCUCUAGCGUUGGUAGAUAGGAAAGAGGUUGUAUCCCCCUAGCUAGCGUUGGUCGAUAGGCAAAAGUUGUAUCCCCAAUAUCAUUGUUAUAGUAGAAGUUGUUUGGAGGUUGGUCCCGUGGUUUUUCCCCGCAUUGGGGUUUUCCACGUAAA